AAGAAAGCCUAACCCAUCAAAGAGAGAGGCGAACAGAGAGGAGAGAGAAGCGAACUCAAAUACAGAGGAGGGUGGGUGACGGCAACUCCAGUGGCGAGGCAACGGUGGCUACGGUGAGGCGGCGGUGCUAAUGAUAUGUCUUCGCCAAGGCCGUAGCUUGGGAGGACUUAGAGCCAAGAGCUUCUUUUGUUAUUGUUGUAAUUAUUUUUGUACAAGGCAAGGGCAUUAUUUGUAUUAAGUUUCAAACUCACUGUUGUUGUAACCAAGCAUCGACUUGGAAAGUUGUAGCCAUUAAGGCAUUCAUUUAUCUGUUUAACUCUUGUUUCACAUCUUUUUCUUAUGACACACGCUAUAGAUUCAGGGUUAGGGCUUUUGAAUAUAUAGUUGCUUGUGCCA